AAACCAACAGGGAUUGCCUUAGUAGCGGCGAGUGAAGCGGCAAAAGCUCAAAUUUGAAAUCUGGUACCUUCGGUGCCCGAGUUGUAAUUUGAAGAAAGCAAUCUUGGAUUUGGCCUUUGUCUAUGUUCCUUGGAACAGGACGUCAUAGAGGGUGAGAAUCCCGUCUGAUGAGGUGUCCAUUUCUAUGUAAGAUGUUUUCGAAGAGUCGAGUUGUUUGGGAAUGCAGCUCUAAGUGGGUGGUAAAUUCCAUCUAAAGCUAAAUAUUGGCGAGAGACCGAUAGCGAACAAGUACUGUGAAGGAAAGAUGAAAAGAACUUUGAAAAGAGAGUGAAAAAGUACGUGAAAUUGUUGAAAGGGAAGGGUAUUAGAUCAGACUUGGUAUUUAGUUAUCAUUGCUCCUUGUGGGUGGUGCUCUAGCUUUUUACUGGGCCAGCAUCAGUUUUGGUGGUAAGAUAAUGACAGUUGAACGUGGCUCCUCGGAGUGUUAUAGCUUCUGUUGAUAUUACCUACCGGGACUGAGGUCUGCGGCUUUUGCCUAGGAUGCUGGCGUAAUGAUCCAAUACCGC
rnacentral:rRNA from 1 species